CGGGUGAGUAACACGUGGAUAACCUACCUAUAAGACUGGGAUAGCUUCGGGAAACCGGAGCUAAUACCGGAUAAUAUAUUGAACCGCAUGGUUCAAUAGUGAAAGACGGUUUUGCUGUCACUUAUAGAUGGAUCCUCGCCGCAUUAGCUAGUUGGUAAGGUAACGGCUUACCAAGGCAACGAUGCGUAGCCGACCUGAGAGGGUGAUCGGCCACACUGGAACUGAGACACGGUCCAG
rnacentral:rRNA from 1 species